UAACCGACUUUCUUGUUGAAUUUGGUUUUUUCUUUCUUAUAUUUUGAGUUUUUGUGCAAGCGUUUGUUGGUUUCUUGUUGAACUUCUAUGAUAGUUUUAAGUGCUAUCAGUGGAUUUUCAAAGUGGUUUUGUUUUCUUUUAUGGGUGUAAUUGUUUAGAUUCCUCUUGUAGAGCAAGCUAUUUUUCCAUGGAGAAAAUCAGUGAUUUUUAGGAGCUUUGUUUGAUUGUUAGCAAAUGUUACAGAUAAGACGAAACCAUGCAGUCCAGGGUGCCUCUUGAAGAGUCAAUUCAUGCUUGUUUUAGAUAGAAAAUACUACAGGACCAUGAAUGAUAAUGUGGUCCAGGCUUCAGGCAUAUUCCUAAUAAGUCAUAAUCAUGAGAGCUUUUUAAGUUGAGCUAAGUGGGACACAUAGUUUCAUUUUUCCCAGAGUUGGUCUUAUGCAAAAUGUUUUGGUGGUCCCUGAUAGCCAGGGAGUAAUUGUAGAUGAAAUGGGGUUAAUAAGCAUUGCUGUUUGUCCAUAUUUAUGACUUGUUCGUAGGAACAUACUUUGAAAUCCAAACACUUCCAUUCCAGGACUCAAUUUGGAGAGGCCACCUAUCAAUUCUUAGUUUAGUUUCAAUCCUCACAUGAUGAGUUUUGAUUCAUAUUUUGAUGGAACUCAUAAAUUUGUUGGAGCAUAAUGAAGUUUUUUCAAACGCUGAAUAUUGCCUUAAUUGAAACUGAUAAGCAGCAGGCACGGUAGAGGCAAUCUGCAAUGGCAGGCAUAAUUAAAUACAUUUUCACCCUUCUCGUGAUCCCUUCAAUUCAAAGAUCCUAAUAGGAUAUACUAAUUAGAACAAUUUAAAAAAAUAAUUAUAAUAAGGUGAAGACAAAGGUUGAAUUGUUUAUCUCCGUAGUCCAGCCCAAGGAUAACUAAGACAGAUUAUUAGUAUUAGUAUUGACUGCAUUGGAUGAGUUGAUAUCCCUUGCUUUAGUUUUCCAAUGUCUUCUUCAUUUGAAGCAGACUUCACUGGAGACACCUGACUUCAGGAAUUGCAAAGCAGCUCAUGAAAUUCGAAAAGACUUGAAGCUUGUUUUGGAUUUAUACAAAACAGAUGGCAGUGGAGACAGACCCACCUGUGAAUCUUGUGAAAGAACAGCAAACUUUAUCUGGUGAAACUGUUUUUGGAGAGCAAGCUCCUGACAAAUUCCUAGAGGGAAAAGAAGCAGAGCUACUUAAAACUGAACAUUGUGUAGAAAAAUCAACAGAUAUAAAGCAUCCAAUGCCUUCUUCUGGCUCAGGGUGGAAGCUCAAUGUUAGCCUAUUUCGUGGUAGCUAUGUUGUGGUUGGAAUUUCAUCACUUAUGGGGGCUGUAAGCCAGUUUACUAUGGCCUAACAAAGGAGUCCUGUCGAGUAAGCAGACAAAGUCUCAAUUAUAGUCUGUGCACCGACACCAUUCCUUCCUGACAAUAACAAGUCACCUUUGGUGAUGUACUGAAAAAAUUUUGCAAUGAGAUGGUAAUGUUGGAGUAGCCAUGGAAAACAGAGUAUGGUUCUAUGCCUUGCACAUCUUUUGAAAUUUUGAUUACAACUAGAAGAGGCUACCUAUAGUAGUGUCCUGUAGAAUCUAAACAGAUUGGUUCAUUCUGGUUAACUGAGAUGAAUGUAAUUUAAUUACUAUAGAUUUUAUUUCAAUCAAAUGCUUCUGUCUGUCAUUUGCCUAUCAACUGGUUCCUUUGCAGUUACUCCAUUUUCAUUACCCAUUGUUGCAGCAACGUAUGGGUUAACUCUCUUUUAUGAA